ACUCACAUCAGAGUUCUCAUCCUUCAUCCGUGCAAGUGGCUGCAACACUUGCUUGCCACCGAGCCAAUCCAACCCCUAAUUCUAUUAUCAAUCUACAAUGCAUACAAUGCCCUAAAGCUCGGCGUUUGCGCCAAAAUACUGGAUGGCGCUGUCAGAAUUGUCAUCGGAAACCCACCAGACACACCGCUGCUCAAUGCUUUCAAGGGCGUAUCAAGCUCGAAGCUGACGCUUGUUUUUGCACCGCCAUAAAAUGUAACAUUCUAGGGAUUGACAUUCAUAUUCCCUUCUCCUUGAGUCUGCUCGUUAAUAUUUGUGGAAAAAAAACUUCCCUCUGUUUUCAUUUGCGCAUGAUGAGUAUAAAAUGGAUAAGAUCAAGUAGUUUGA